rnacentral:lncRNA from 1 species
AUGGAGGCACACGCCAGCCCCACUGGGCACGGGCCCUGGGAGCACCAGCCAGGCCCUACGGGGGCGGAGGGAGGCCGUGGAGGCCAGCUCGCUAGAAGAACCUUCAUGGGCAGCAACGAAACUGUGACGAUUUUAUUGCAAAGGUUUUACUCUUGUUUUCCACAGGGGACUGGAAAAUUAUUACAAUGGCCAUUUCGGGAUGAUUCUGGGGUGAGUCACCGGUCCGCCCAGGAAGCAACACUGACCAGGACUGCUGUUCCCAUGCUGUCACCAUCACGGCAUUAUUGGAAGGCCCACAUUCUAAAGCCCUCUUUUUCAAGGUCCCUUUACCCAGGCUCGGCAGGUAACAUUUCACCAAGUUAAUGAUUUCGUUUCUGAGUCACUAAGCAUACAGAGUUUUACCUGAGUCACCCGGGGCACAUACCUGAGACAGCAGCUGCAGGCUUCUGGGAAUGUUGGGGAAAACCUGAUUUGCAACUGACUACCCAGCACAGAUUUAAAGCUAGCACAGGACAGAGAGCCUGGGAACAGGACUCUUAUGUUCCAUAAGAACAGCUCCUUGUUCUUUCAUCGAGUGGAACCUGCUCCAGGUCGGCAUGGAACAAUGCCGUGAAUGCUAUUCAACUGUCGUCUCAGACAUUGCUGGGGGAUGGGACGGGAAAGGAAUGCUAUACUGAUACCAUCUGUGGGUGGGACUGUUCAUCAGAUUCUAGCCUUUUUUGUCUUCCCUUUUGCUGGAUAGCCCGACACAAAAAUCCAGCCCGGAGUUUUCCAAGGCUUGUUUCUGCACGCCUCUAAUGAUUUCUAUGGGGAGUUACUAUACUUGAUCAACACUGCAAUUCUGGAAAGUCAGAUUAUACUAAUUUAAGGAAGUGGGAUCCCUUGCACAAGGGGCCGGAGACCGAAGCUUGCUUUUGCCAAGUUAACAUCACGGUAUACACCCAAUGAGAAAACGAAGAUUUCUGUACAUCUUUAUGAAUUUUAGAGGCGUUUAUAAGCCGUGUUCCUUAAUGCAGUUCUGCCAAGACUGAUACAGAUGGAUUUCAGAACUUUUCAGACUGUCCUGUACACAGGAAGCACCUGGGGAGAGCUUGUUAAAAUGUAGACUCCGGGCCCCACCAGCAGAGAGUCUGUUCUGCAGAACAGAGGUGGGGCCUGAGCGUGGGCAGCUCUAACUUGCAUCCUAGUGAAGCUGGAGCUGCUGUCUGGGGGCCACGCUGGAGUCACAUGGCUGGAGGACCGCUCUGGGCUGGUCACCGAAUCCCUCUGGGCCUCAGCCAUCUCCCUGAGAACGGACGGAACCGCUGACAUCCAGUGGCAGCUUAUUAAUCCCUGGGCACUGUACUCAACCCUCUGCACACAC